CAGUCGAACGAACUCUGGUAUUGAUUGGUGCUUGCAUCAUGAUUUACAUUUGAGUGAGUGGCGAACUGGUGAGUAACACGUGGGAAACCUGCCCAGAAGCGGGGGAUAACACCUGGAAACAGAUGCUAAUACCGCAUAACAACUUGGACCGCAUGGUCCGAGUUUGAAAGAUGGCUUCGGCUAUCACUUUUGGAUGGUCCCGCGGCGUAUUAGCUAGAUGGUGGGGUAACGGCUCACCAUGGCAAUGAUACGUAGCCGACCUGAGAGGGUAAUCGGCCACAUUGGGACUGAGACACGGCCCAAACUCCUACGGGAGGCAGCAGUAGGGAAUCUUCCACAAUGGACGAAAGUCUGAUGGAGCAACGCCGCGUGAGUGAAGAAGGGUUUCGGCUCGUAAAACUCUGUUGUUAAAGAAGAACAUAUCUGAGAGUAACUGUUCAGGUAUUGACGGUAUUUAACCAGAAAGCCACGGCUAACUACGUGCCAGCAGCCGCGGUAAUACGUAGGUGGCAAGCGUUGUCCGGAUUUAUUGGGCGUAAAGCGAGCGCAGGCGGUUUUUUAAGUCUGAUGUGAAAGCCUUCGGCUCAACCGAAGAAGUGCAUCGGAAACUGGGAAACUUGAGUGCAGAAGAGGACAGUGGAACUCCCAUGUGUAGCGGUGAAAUGCGUAGAUAUAUGGAAGAACACCAGUGGCGAAGGCGGCUGUCUGGUCUGUAACUGACGCUGAGGCUCGAAAGUAUGGGUAGCAAACAGGAUUAGAUACCCUGGUAGUCCAUACCGUAAACGAUGAAUGCUAAGUGUUGGAGGGUUYCCGCCCUUCAGUGCUGCAGCUAACGCAUUAAGCAUUCCGCCUGGGGAGUACGGCCGCAAGGCUGAAACUCAAAGGAAUUGACGGGGGCCCGCACAAGCGGUGGAGCAUGUGGUUUAAUUCGAAGCUACGCGAAGAACCUUACCAGGUCUUGACAUACUAUGCAAAUCUAAGAGAUUAGACGUUCCCUUCGGGGACAUGGAUACAGGUGGUGCAUGGUUGUCGUCAGCUCGUGUCGUGAGAUGUUGGGUUAAGUCCCGCAACGAGCGCAACCCUUAUUAUCAGUUGCCAGCAUUAAGUUGGGCACUCUGGUGAGACUGCCGGUGACAAACCGGAGGAAGGUGGGGAUGACGUCAAAUCAUCAUGCCCCUUAUGACCUGGGCUACACACGUGCUACAAUGGAUGGUACAACGAGUUGCGAACUCGCGAGAGUAAGCUAAUCUCUUAAAGCCAUUCUCAGUUCGGAUUGUAGGCUGCAACUCGCCUACAUGAAGUCGGAAUCGCUAGUAAUCGCGGAUCAGCAUGCCGCGGUGAAUACGUUCCCGGGCCUUGUACACACCGCCCGUCACACCAUGAGAGUUUGUAACACCCAAAGUCGGUGGGGUAAC
rnacentral:rRNA from 1 species